rnacentral:rRNA from 1 species
GACGAACGCUGGCGGCGUGCUUAACACAUGCAAGUCGAACGAUGAACCUGGAGCUUGCUCCGGCGGAUUAGUGGCGAACGGGUGAGUAACACGUGAGUAACCUGCCCUUGACUCUGGGAUAACUGCUAGAAAUGGUAGCUAAUACCGGAUACGACCCUCGGUGGCAUCACCAGGGGGUGGAAAGAAUUUCGGUCAAGGAUGGACUCGCGGCCUAUCAGCUAGUUGGUGGGGUAACGGCUCACCAAGGCGACGACGGGUAGCCGGCCUGAGAGGGUGACCGGCCACACUGGGACUGAGACACGGCCCAGACUCCCACGGGAGGCAGCAGUGGGGAAUAUUGCACAAUGGGCGCAAGCCUGAUGCAGCAACGCCGCGUGAGGGAUGACGGCCUUCGGGUUGUAAACCUCUUUUAGUAGGGAAGAAGCGAAAGUGACGGUACCUGCAGAAAUAGCACCGGCUAACUACGUGCCAGCAGCCGCCGUAA